rnacentral:rRNA from 1 species
UACCGAGGGGGCAAGCGUUGUUCGGAAUUACUGGGCGUAAAGGGCGCGUAGGCGGCCUUCUAAGUCGAACGUGAAAUCCCCGGGCUCAACCCGGGAACUGCGUCCGAUACUGGGAGGCUUGAAUCCGGGAGAGGGAUGCGGAAUUCCAGGUGUAGCGGUGAAAUGCGUAGAUAUCUGGAGGAACACCGGUGGCGAAGGCGGCAUCCUGGACCGGCAUUGACGCUGAGGCGCGAAAGCCAGGGGAGCAAACGGG